rnacentral:rRNA from 1 species
GUGUACAGGUGGUGCAUGGUUGUCGUCAGCUCGUGUCGUGAGAUGUUGGGUUAAGUCCCGCAACGAGCGCAACCCUUGUCUUAUGUUGCCAGCACGUGAUGGUGGGGACUCAUGAGAGACUGCCGGGGUCAACUCGGAGGAAGGUGGGGAUGACGUCAAAUCAUCAUGCCCCUUAUGUCCAGGGCUUCACACAUGCUACAAUGGUCGGUACAGCAGGUCGCGAACUCGUGAGAGUAAGCCAAUCCUUCAAAGCCGGCCUCAGUUCGGAUUGGGGUCUGCAACUCGACCCCAUGAAGUCGGAGUCGCUAGUAAUCGCAGAUCAGCAACGCUGCGGUGAAUACGUUCCCGGGCCUUGUACACAC